AUUGCUAUUCUUGUACAAGUCUUAUUGUAAAAACAUACCCUCAUUUAUCUUGGGUAGAUCUUUAGAAGUGGAGUCACUAAGUCACAGGGUAGGCAUUAUGUUUAUCUUUAUAAGCAACCGGCAAACUGUUUCCUGAGGUGAUUAAACCAUCUUGGAUUUCUAUCAGUUCCACAUUCUCACCAUUUGGCGGGUAUGCAGUGGUAUUUCCUUGUGGUUUCAUUCUACAUUCCCUGAUGGCUGAUGUUUGAGUGCCAUUUCCUAUGCUACUCCUGCAUCUGGAGAGCUUCUGUGAAAUACAUGGUUUCUUCUCUGUUGCCCAGGCUGGAGUGCAGUGGCACCAUCAUAGCUCACUGCAACCUCAAACUCCUGCCCUCAAGUGGUCCUAUCGUCUCACCUUCCCAAAAUGCUAAAAUUACAGGUAUGAGCCAGUACCCAGCCAUUGUUUUCUUUUUCAUUCUUUUCUUCCCAAUUUGAGUUAUAAUAGAGUGAUAAGCAUCUGCCUAAUUACAAGUAAUUAUGAUAAACAGGGAUCCACUCUAACUUCAAAUAAAACCAAUGUAAGGCACAACUAUUCAGGAAUAUUUUGUAUUUUCAAAGUAUUUAGGAAUUCUUUAAUUAGAAAAAUAAAGGCAAUGGGAUUAUCUAUCAGGUUCUAAAAGUACCCAUGAA
rnacentral:lncRNA from 1 species